UCGAGCGAAGCGGUUUCAAUGAAGUUUUCGGAUGGAAUUGAAAUUGACUUAGCGGCGGACGGGUGAGUAACGCGUGGGUAACCUGCCUUACACUGGGGGAUAACAGUUAGAAAUGACUGCUAAUACCGCAUAAGCGCACAGGGCCGCAUGGUCUGGUGUGAAAAACUCCGGCGGUGUAAGAUGGACCCGCGUCUGAUUAGGUAGUUGGCGGGGUAACGGCCCACCUAGUCUUCGAUGGAUAGGGGUUCUGAGAGGAAGGUCCCCACAUUGGAACUGAGACACGGUCCAAACUCC
rnacentral:rRNA from 1 species